rnacentral:lncRNA from 1 species
UUCUUCCAUUAAUGUUAGGAAAUCCUUAGAGACUGGAGUGGCAUGGACCAAUUUGGCUAAUUAUGAGCUCUGUGCAUUGAACUUCCAAAGUCAUAUAGUAGUCAAUAUUCAGACUGCACACCACCCCUUCAGCUUGAUGACUCCAGCCCAGUGAUCUUCACACCUGUGUCCCAGGCCCCAUGGUUGUCCACGGCAGCAAGCUUCUACCUGACUUUGCAUUAAUUUUGAUCCAGAGGACAAAGUCUGAGUCUUCAACAAAAAUCAGUCAAAAGAGGGCCUUUGGAUCUGCUUCCCUUGACUGUGGCCCAGCAGAAAAACAGUAUCACCCAGUUCCUGCUAGGUCUGAGAGCAGAGCAGUGGGAGGCAGCAGUUGUAUCCAACACAGGAAAAGCAGUUGCGGAUCACUGAUACAGAUCACAGAGCCGUGUACGUCAUAAUUCAGCACAGAUUUCUCACCUGCCACCAG